rnacentral:rRNA from 1 species
UACGGGGGGGGGCAAGCGUUGUUCGGAAUUACUGGGCGUAAAGGGCUCGUAGGUGGCCAACUAAGUCAAACGUGAAAUCCCUCGGCUUAACCGGGGAACUGCGUCUGAUACUGGAUGGCUUGAGUUUGGGAGAGGGAUGCGGAAUUCCAGGUGUAGCGGUGAAAUGCGUAGAUAUCUGGAGGAACACCGGUGGCGAAGGCGGCAUCCUGGACCAACACUGACACUGAGGAGCGAAAGCCAGGGGAGCAAACGGGG